AUGUUUAUAUGUUGUAAUAAAAGUACAAAGUUGCAAAUACUAUCACAUUCCCCUUUUUUUUUUUUUUUUUUUUUUUUUUACGAUAAAAUUAUAAAUUUUCAAAAGUUUAGCAAUAUGAAGUGUGAUUUCGAAAUAUUAGGAGAAGGUAAUAAAAUGCUGGUAAUAAAAAUUAAAGAGGAAACAGAAAAUAGGACAAUCAAAAACAACAACUAUACUAUUACUGAUCAUAUAAAUAACGACUAUAACAACAAAAACCAUACCACUAAAAAUGAUAAAAAUAACUCACAUAUUGUACUACAUGAAUCAAUUGGUGCUAUUAAUUAUAAAACUCCUUUAAUAGAUAAUAUUUUUUUAUAUAGAGACAUAUUCAAACAUGUUAAUUUUUUUAGUUCAAUUUUUGUACAAAAUACUGUAAUAAAAAUUUCGAAGGAAAAAAAAAACAUAAAUAAUAACUACAGUGAUAGUGGUAGUGGUAAUGGUAAUGGUAAUGGUAGUGACAAUAGCCAUAAUGGCCAAAAUUAUAACAACCAAAAAUAUAACAACCAAAAAUAUAAUAGCCAAAGCUAUAAUAGCCAACGCUAUAAUAACAAUAUGGAUAUUUUUUUACAACAUCAGUGGAUUAGAAAACUGAAAUAUGGUAAUAUGAACAUAUUUGACAAGAAUUUUAUUGCUACUAAUAACUUAGUAGUAUUAAAUUUUCACGUUAUUAAUUUAAUACAAGAAAUAUGUAGUAUUUCCGUUUUUACUUUACCACAUAAACAAAAACUUGUUUACGAUGCUAUAGCUAAUUUUAUCAAGCAUGUAUCCGAAUUAAUAAUUAGAAUAUAUAAUAAAACACAUAGUAAAACUAUAGUUAUAUAUCAAUACGUAUAUAAUACUUUACUUUUAUAUACACCAAAAGAUAUACAAAAUAAAUUAUAUGAUGUAAAAAAGGAUUUAUGUAUAUCUAUAGAUGAAAUGAAAAGAAAUAUAACAACACAUUUUAAUCAAUUGAAUAAUAAUAAAAAUUUUAAAUAUAUUAAAUCUUUUUUUUUAAAAAAAAAAACAAAACAAAACAAAAAAAAAAAUAGAAAUAAAUAUAUAUUUAACGAAUUGUAUGACUCUCAUGAUUUUUUUUAUCUUAAUAAAAAUAUACAAGAACAAAAAAAAAAAAAAAAAAAAAAACGAAAUAAAAAGAAUUGA
ensembl:lncRNA